UACCUGCAGCUCGAGUGGUAACCGCUAUUAUUGGGCCUAAAGCGUCCGUAGCCGGUUUGGUAAAUAUCUGGGUAAAUCGUGAGGCUUAACUUCACGAAUUUCGGAUAGACUGCCAGACUUGGGAUCGGGGGAGGUCAGAGGUACUCCAGGGGUAGCGGUGAAAUGUUGUAAUCCUUGGAGGACCACCGGUAGCGAAGGCGUCUGACUAGAACGAGUCCGACGGUGAGGGACGAAGCCCUGGGGCGCAAACCGGAUUAGAUACCCGGGUAGUCCAGGGUGUAAACUAUGUGGGCUUUGUAUUGGAGGUCCCACGUGGGCGUCCAGUGCAGAAGAGAAGUUGUUAAGCCCACCGCCUGGGAAGUACGGUCGCAAGGCUGAAACUUAAAGGAAUUGGCGGGGGAGCACAGCAACGGGAGGAGCGUGCGGUUUA
rnacentral:rRNA from 1 species